rnacentral:rRNA from 1 species
UACGUAGGGUGCGAGCGUUGUCCGGAAUUAUUGGGCGUAAAGGGCUCGUAGGCGGUUUGUCGCGUCGGGAGUGAAAACCCAGGGCUUAACUCUGGGCUUGCUUUCGAUACGGGCAGACUGGAGGUAUGCAGGGGAGAACGGAAUUCCUGGUGUAGCGGUGAAAUGCGCAGAUAUCAGGAGGAACACCGGUGGCGAAGGCGGUUCUCUGGGCAUGUCCUGACGCUGAGGAGCGAAAGUGUGGGGAGCGAACAGG